UGAAUACGAGAUGCUACGGCGUCGAAGCAGUCUAUGUCAUACUUCCAAGAAAAGCUUGCACUGUCAUAAACAAAUAAUGCCUGUACCAUAACCGACACAGGUGGGUAGGUAGAGUAUACUAAGGGGCGCGAGAUAACUCUCUCUAAGGAACUCGGCAAAAUGACUCCGUAACUUCGGGAGAAGGAGUGCCUUAUUUUAUAAGGUUGCAAUAACAAGAUCCAAGCAACUGUUUACCAAAAACACAGGUCUCCGCUAAGUCGUAAGACGAUGUAUGGGGGCUGACGCCUGCCCAGUGCCAGAAGGUUAAAGAAGUUGGUUAGCAUCCGCGAAGCUGAUAACUGAAGCCCUGGUGAACGGCGGCCGUAAUAAUAACGGUCCUAAGGUAGCGAAAUUCCUUGUCGGGUAAGUUCCGACCCGCACGAAAGGCGUAAUGAUUUGGAUACUGUCUCAGAGAGGGGCUCGGUGAAAUAGACUUGUCUGUGAAGAUGCGGACUACCUGCACCAGGACAGAAAGACCCUAUGAAGCUUUACUGUAACUUGAAAUUGAAAUUGGACUUUACUUGCGCAGUAUAGGUGGGAGGCGUUGAGAAUAUUCUUGCGGGAAUGUUGGAGCCAUCAGUGAGAUACCACUCUUGUAAUGUUAGAUUUCUAACUUUGUAUCAUUAUCUGGUCAAAGGACAGUUUCAGGCGGGCAGUUUGACUGGGGCGGUCGCCUCCCAAACGGUAACGGAGGCGCACAAAGGUUUCCUCUGAACGGGUAGAAAUCGUAUCUAGAGUGUAAAGGCAUAAGGAAGCUUGACUGUGAGACCUACAAGUCGAGCAGGGACGAAAGUCGGUCUUAGUGAUCUGACGGUGCUGAGUGGAAAGGCCGUCACUCAACGGAUAAAAGUUACUCUAGGAUAACAGGCUGAUCUCCCCCAAGAGUUCACAUCGACGGGGAGGUUUGGCACCUCGAUGUCGGCUCAUCGCAUCCUGGGGCGGUAGUACGUCCCAAGGGUUGGGCUGUUCGCCCAUGAAAGCGGUACGCGAGCUGGGUUCAGAACGUCGUGAGACAGUUCGGUCCAUAUCCGGUGUAGGCGUUAGAAUAUUGAGAGGAGCCUUCUUUAGUACGAGAGGACCGAGAAGGACAUACCUCUGGUGUACCAGUUAUCGUGCCAACGGUAAACGCUGGGUAGCUAUGUAUGGAGUGGAUAACCGCUGAAAGCAUCUAAGUGGGAAGCCCACCUCAAGAUAAG
rnacentral:rRNA from 1 species